rfam:Bacillus sp. B-jedd genome assembly, contig: CONTIG000001
AUAGGGAAGAAGAAGCACCCGCUUCUCACCUGGUUGACGCGGUCUGCUGUUGACAGGUUUUACGUAAAUGGUUUGUCUUGAACCUUUUUUAUGUACGUAAGUGUGGGUGUAUGCACCCGCACUUUUUUAUUGUA